ACUUGAAAAUGGUUUGGAUAUUCUUGAGGUGACCACAGUUUUGAACCCUCAAGGCCAAACCUUUCAAGGUAUCCAAGGACAACACAUUCAAUCGCUAGGUAUCCAACACCAAGGCCUACGCAUCCAAGAUCAAUGCAUCUAAAGCCAAUGGAUCCAAGGCUAAGGUCAGUGCAUCCAAAGCCAAGGCAAGGCCUGGAAAAAUUGGUUCUGCUGACACUUUAAGACCGAGGCCAAGUAUCAAGACACUACAACACUGGAUCUGUUAAACCCUGAUGCCAGUCAGAUCAAACUCACCAAACAGGUGAAAUCUUGAGCUCCUUGGUGGAGAUAAUAAAGCAUGCGCCUCAAAGAGCUUUGGUUUAGACAUCAAAGGGUUUGCACGAGUGUUCGUUGGUUGAUAUGGCUGAAGGGUUCCUGUGUUGUGGCACAGGUACUGUAUUAUUGCCCUUCUAGUUUCUAAUGACAUCCGAAAGGAAUGAGACUGAGUGAUGUAAGGUGGUGUGAUGGGCAACAGAACUGUCUCCUCAUUCCCCCCAAGUUCACACUUGCUACCUGUGUUUUAAACAUUAGCAUUUCCAAAUUAGCUCAGUGGUGCAGUUCUUGCUUUGAUGGUACACCAGUUAUAGUGUCGCUUUAGAGUGCACGAGUUGAGUGCAUGCAGAUUAUCCUCUGACAUUAUUUGCUAAGCCGGCAGAGGCUCAGUUGGAAGGAAUAAUGGAAGCCGCAUAGCCCAUUAUCUCCCCUAUGCAGCUUCAUACUCCACUCCGUUAUGAUGUCACACUCUCCUCUACUUCUUACUGCUUCUAUCUGCCCUGUUAGUAAUUCCUGCUAUGUCCCUUCUCUCUUUGACAAGUUUUAAUUUCAUUCCAACUCCCACUGUUUCUCACUUGACCCCACCCACACUGCCACCCACUCUGCUCUCCCGUAUGAAUGGGUAUUAAAUUCACAGGCAGAAAUUCUGUUCCAUCAUUUGCAUUGUAGUGGAGUUCUAAGCUUCAUUUCAAACUCUCUGUCAUGUGUGUGAUCAUAGCACCACCACACAAACUGGGGCCACAACUCACCCUUACAUCCAGUGUCACAUGAGUUUGACCUUUCAAGGUUACGUCUGAAUUAAAGGUCAUGUAACCAAUAGGAGGUUGACAUAUGACUUCAUAUUAGUGUUCCAUAGUAACCAUAGGUGCAUCUUUAUCCAGUUCCUUGAAUUAAUGUGCAUUCAGAAAGUAUUCACAGC